UGCUGUUACAAGCUUUCGGAAUCUAUAAUGUUUAUUUCCACUAGAUGGCACUUGUGUACUUCAACACUCAUUUAUUUCAGUAACUUUUUGAUCAGUCUAAUCUGUAUAUUUUUAUAUUUCGACUAUUUUAUAAUGCUUAUUGUGAUUUAUAUACUCAACUGUUGUAUAUUUGAGGAAUAUUUAUUCUUUCUAAGAGUUUUCUUUGGUUAUAUUUUAUUUUGCUCCCAUCGUGCCUUUGUAUGUCACUUCCUGUUUUGUCACGGAGAACGAGUCAGAACUGCGGUCCGAGUUUCACAGAGCAAUUCUGCUGAUCAUAUGGAAUGAUGUAAUCAUUGCAAAGUUUAAAGUAUUUCUAUUUAGAAGUCAUCCGAUAAAGAAGCUUCAAGAUAACCCCCUCUCUUAGCUCAUAAGCAGGCAAAAGUGGUAUGUGGAUGUAUUUUCUGUUUAUGUACGAGUUUAAAGUCAUGUGUGUUUUACAUGUAACUGAAUGUAUGACAUGUUUGUUGUAUAUUCACCCUUUUUUACUCAGUUCUACGGUGUUGGUGUUGGAGUCUAAGUCCAGAACACAUUAAACAUCAGUUAAAGAACCUCAGCCUUCGCGUCAUGACUAAGGGCGGGCAUAGUAGAACACUUACUGCGUCGGUGAAGGCCAACUGCAUCAGAUCGUAAAGCUGCACGAGGAAAUCGGCCAUCAAGAGGCGCCACAUGUUGAAUGAGGGAAGUACAACAUGAAAAGAUUGCAAUUGACUUGACUGAAGCAAGCAAAGGCUGAACAAGCAAGCACUUUUGAAGUUAGUGACUUGGAAGCAGCGCAAGGUCUUGUGAACUGUCACUGAGGUUUCAAUUGCUCUGGUAUUUCCAUCAUUCCCAUUCUAAGAUAAAGUUGGACAUUUUUCUAUUAUCGUUUGACUUAUUAAGAAACUAAAAGGGACUAAACAGAUAAACAAUUUUGCUACUAUUAAAUAAGACUAAAGUUUGAAUUUUCUGUUGUAUUCAAGUAUUUGUGUAUACUUCAUCAUUUAAGCGUGUUGAUAUUCACAUUUUUUCUUUACAAGUUGAAUUCAUAGACUACUUCUUGACAGUUCUGUAGCUUGUUAUCAUUUACAUGAUUGGAUCACAUAAGUGUAGCUGAGAUAACCGCUUUACACUAAACUUUAGAUUGCUCUUUGAAUAUUCACAUUAUAGUGCAACACAGGUUUAGCAUGUCAAACACAAGUGAAAAUACAUUGCUGGCUACUAAAGAAGUUAGCUAUACAACCCCUACUGCACAAGACGUAGACAAUGCAGAGCAGGUCAUUCCAUCAGAGCAGGCUGAUAUAACUGAACAAGUUGAAGUGGCUGCACAAGUACAACAACCUCAGGUGGACAUAGAUAAUACACAGCUCUCAGAUAUUAGAAGAAGCCAGCGAGCACGCACGCUUACCGAGAAGGGUAAAACGCUGCAAGACGCUAGACUAAAUGAUCUGAAAAGAAGCUUUGAGCAGAAGUAUAGAAGGUGGAAGUAUCACAUCAAUGGUUUGAAAAGAGCCAUUAAGAACAAUGAUGAUGCAGAAUUGAUUUGUGAAGUUGUGAGCACCAUUAAUGCCACUCAGUCUGAGGUCGACCAUAUUUAUGGUGAUAUAAGAAGCAUCACAAGCCCUGAACCUGAAAUUCGGAGGAAAAAUGACACUUGCCUUGCCAUUACUAGCACUGCAAAUGAGAAGUCUCAAAGAUUCCUCAACGGUGAUCCUAAGGACAUUCCCUGGCCUGAUUCAGAUUCAGUGUUUGAAGCCACUGUGUCCAGCAUCAUCUCAGCAACCUCCAGUAAGUCAAAGUCUGUUUCCAAGAUGUCCAGUCAAUCUUACAGUGAUUCUCUGCAGAAAAGACAAGAAGCAGCGGCUGAAGUAGCGGCUACACAAGAAGUGAUUAAAAUAAUGAAGACACAACAUCAACAUGAAGAGGAAAUUAGGAAACUGGAGGCAGAGGAUGAAAGGUUAGCAGCAGAAAGAGAAGCUCAAGAAAGGGAAACCGAAGCUGAGAAUGCAAGGAAAAGGGCUCAAUUUAUUUCAGAAAGCACUGUUAGAAAAAUAAAGCUGGAAGAAAAGAAAAAAGAAGUGGAACGGUUGGAGGAACUAAAAAGACAUAACGCAGCACAAGCAAGGCUGCAAGUUUAUGCUGAAAGCAUCAAAGGUGAUGAGGGAGAACAGCGUUCUGCUCCUCUUCUUCAACAAAGGCAAGAACAUUAUGUUUUUCAACCAAGCGUUCCUUUUUCUCUCUCUCAGCCAUUUACGCUCGCUCAAGACACUGCUCCUUUCAACCAACCCUCUUGUUCUUCUCAAAGGUUACCCCAAGCUCAUAUCUCUCAGUCACCUACAUGGCCUGCUCCCAACGAAGCUUCUAAUGAUCUUGUGAAGGCACUGGCUGAAGCGAUUACAGCCAAUAGGAUUCCAAUUACAGAACCUGUUGUUUUUUCUGGAGAUCCCCUGAAGUAUAAUGACUGGAAGCUGUCCUUCCAGACGUUAAUUGAUCGCAAGAACUUGCCAUCACAAGAAAAGCUAUUCUUUCUACGCAAGUAUGUAGGUGGUCCGGCCAAGAGAGCGAUUGAAGGACAUUUUGUGGCUGGAACAGAAAUGGCUUACACGGCAGCCUGGAACAUCCUUGAUGACCGGUUCGGCAAUCCGUUCGUAGUUGGCAAAUCUUACCGUGACAAAAUACAGUCUUGGCACAAGAUUGCUACCAAAGACAGCAAAGACCUCCAGGAAUUUGUAGAUUUCCUAAGCAGUGUUGAAUCAGCAAUGCCUUAUGUACAAGGUUUACAAGCUCUGAAUGACUGUGUUGAAAAUCAAAGAAUAUUAGCCAAAUUGCCAGACUGGUUGAGUUCACGUUGGAAUAGAGUAGUCACCAAGUUUCAAGAUGAAUACAAAGGAUUCCCAGAUUUCAAAUACUUUGUUGAAUUUCUUAACAAGGAAGCUAGAAUCGCAUGCAAUCCUAUCACCUCACUGCAAGCGAUAAAGCCAGCAGAGCAAGAAAGGUUCAAGCAAUCAGAUCAAGAUCAUUAUAAGUUUCAGAGGAAUCGCAACUCAAGUGCAAAGACAUUCACCACUAGUUCCAGUGAAAGGACUAGCCUUAUGUGUGUCUUUUGUAAGAGAUUAGGCCACACUCUUCAUAAGUGUCGCAAAAUUAUGGAAAGACCAAUUGAGGAAAGAUUGAAGUUUGUACAGUCUGAGAAGUUGUGCUUUGGCUGUCUUAAGACUGGUCAUAACUCCAGAAGCUGCACCUCUAGGAGUGUGUGUGAAAAAUGUGAGAAGUGUCACCCAACAAGCCUACACCAGGACCGUGUAAAUAAAUGCCCAGGACAAAGCUCUAGAACCAGUCAAGAUCAGUUCAAGGUCAAUCACGGAUCUGCAGAUAGAACAGCCGAAUCACAGAAGGUACAAGAGUCUAAGCCUGUGACUUCAAACAGAGUAGUUCAAGAAAGGAACGGCACUCAUACGUCAUCAAUCAUUCCAGUAUAUGUCUCAACAACAGAUGAACCAAGGAAGGAGAUUUUAGUGUAUGCCUUGCUUGAUACUCAGAGCGACACUACUUUCAUUUUAAAGGACACAGCUGAGACACUUGAUAUCAAGAAAGAGCCUGUCAAACUCAAGAUUUCCACCAUAACAUCCAAAACGAAGGUUGUGUCCAGUCACAAAUUGAAUGGUCUACAAGUAAGAGGCAUUCAGUCUGAAGUUAAAAUCAAACUUCCAACAACUUAUACUAGAGACUACAUACCUGCAAAUAGAUCUCAUAUACCCACAUGUGAAACCGCAAAGAAUUGGCCUCAUCUAGAACAUCUGGCAGAUGAAAUGGCUCCUGCACUUGACUGUGAAGUAGGUUUGUUAAUAGGCUACAACUGCCCUCAAGCCUUACUUCCCAGGGAUGUUCUCAGUGGCAAUGAAGAUCAGCCAUUUGCACAAAGAUCCGUGUUGGGUUGGAGUAUCGUUGGAUACAACCAUGACGACAGUUAUUAUGAAGAUGAAAUCGGUGUGAGUCACAGGAUUAUCAUGAAGCAAGUUCUACCAGCUCGUGAUCCAUCUCACAAACUCAAGUCUGAAGUCUGCUUUGUACAGAGGAACAAGGUUAAAGAGAUGAUCACUCCGGCAGAGAUAUUGAAGGUUUUUGAGUCAGACUUUGUAGAACGGGAUAAUGAGGAAGUCUCAACGUCGCAAGAAGACUUAAGGUUUUUGGCAAAAUUGAAUGAAGGCAUUAAGCAAGUGCAAGAUGGACACUAUGAGAUGCCAUUGCCUUUUAAGGGUGAGAGGCCAGAUUUGCCAAACAACAAAGCGUGUGCAGAGCAUCGACUCAAAUCCCUAGAGAAGCGUUUAAAGAGAGAUGAACAGUACCAAAAGGACUACAUGGCUUUCAUGAAGGACAUAAUAGCAAGAGGCGAUGCUGAAAGGGUCCCAGAGAUGGAGUUAAGUAGUCAACCAGCAUGGUAUAUACCUCACCAUGGAGUAUAUAACCCACAGAAGCCAGGCAAGAUUCGUAUCGUCUUUGAUUGCUCUGCAAGAUUUCAGAAUACUUCUCUGAAUGAGCAUCUACUGACUGGGCCUGACCUCACAAAUACCCUUGUUGGAGUCUUGUGUCGUUUCCGGAAAGGGCAAGUAGCCAUCAUGUGUGAUGUGGAGCGUAUGUUCCACCAGUUCCACGUUGCUCCAAAGGAUCGGGACUACCUCAGGUUCCUAUGGUGGGAAGAUGGAAACAUGGAAGCCUCACCUUCAGUUUUUCGAAUGAAGGUCCAUUUGUUCGGAGCGGCCUCCUCGCCUGGAUGUGCAAACUUCGGCCUCAAAUACCUUGCCGUACAAGGUCAAGGCAAGUUUAAUCAAGCCACAGUGAAGUUCAUACAACGUAAUUUUUAUGUUGACGAUGGCUUAGCGAGUGUGGACACUGAAGCAGAGGCAAUCCAGCUUGUAAAGGAAGCCAGGGGUCUCUGCAAUACCGGAAAGCUUCGCUUGCAUAAAUUCAUCACCAACAGCAAGACGGUGAUUGCCACAAUUCCAAAGGAGGAAUGUACUGAAGGGGCAAUUGACUUUGACUUGACCCUAGGAGAACCUAAAGUAGAGAGGGCGCUCGGCAUCCAAUGGUGCGUGGCUUCAGACAAGUUCCAUUUCAGAGUGUUAGUAAAGGAAAAUCCUUUUACUAGAAGAGGUGUGCUGUCUACAGUUGCUUCCAUUUUUGAUCCUCUUGGAUUCGUCGCUCCCUUCAUUUUAGUUGGGAAAAGGACUCUACAAAAGAUGUGUCAAGACAAGUUAGGCUGGGACGAACCACUUCCUGAUGACCUCAAGCCGCAUUGGGAAGCUUGGUUGCGAGACCUCCAUAACCUGUCUUUGGUGAAGAUACCACGUUGUUAUGUGCCAUCAACAUUCAAGGAUGUUCAACAAUAUGAGCUACACCAUUUUUCAGACGCCAGUGUGUCAGGCUAUGGAGUAUGUUCAUACCUCAGAGCUGUAACCAAGUCUGGAGAAGUCUACUGCACUCUUGUUAUGAGUAAAGCUAGGGUUGCUCCAACAAAGGUAACAACAAUUCCCAGACUGGAGCUCUCAGCUGCAGUGGUUGCCACAAGAACUGGUGAUCUGCUCAAAAGAGAACUAGAAUUGGAUGGCAUUCGUGAAUACUACUGGACCGACUCCAAAGUUGUCCUUGGCUAUAUUAACAACGAUGCACGACGUUUCCAUGUAUUUGUAGCCAACCGAGUUCAGCAGAUCAGAACAAGCACUGAGACUAGUCAAUGGAGAUAUGUGGCUUCAGAACAAAAUCCAGCUGACCAUGCCUCUCGUGGGCUCACCGUAAAGGAACUCAUGGGAUCGAACUGGUUUACUGGUCCAAGUUUCCUAUGGCAAAGAGAACUCCCUAAGGAUGACAUUAAGGUGGGAGAAGUUAAUGAUGGAGACCCGGAAUUCAAAAGGGCACAGGUUCUAAUGACCAAGGCAAGGGAAGAGUGGUGUCUGUCAGAUCGCUUGCAAAGGUUUUCAGAUUGGAAGAGGGCAGUGAAAGCCAUAGCAAGGCUCAAACGUUGUGCAAGGAGUGCGAAAGGUUUGGUAGAAAGAUCCAACAAUUCCACAACACUUGAAGAAAGGAAGGAUGCUGAACAAUUCAUAAUUUACAUCGUUCAAGAAGAAGUGUUCAGUGACGAGAUCAAGCAUCUAAGACAAGGCAAGGAAGUUAAUUCAAGUCUUUUCAACAAGCUGUACAAGUUAAGUCCGUUUAUCGAUGACCAUGAUGUCUUACGAGUGGGAGGACGAUUGACACAGGCAGAGCUUCACUCUCAUGUCAAGCAUCCAGCCAUUCUUCCUAAAGGACAUCAUAUAUCUCGUUUACUCAUAAAACACUUCCAUGAAAAGGUGCAACAUCAAGGUCGUGGCAUGACCAUCAAUGAAAUCCGCUCCAAUGGUAUUUGGAUUCUGGGAUGCAGUAGCGAAGUUUCAUCUCUCAUCUACAAAUGCAUUAAGUGUAGGAAGCUGAGGAAAUGCAAUCAGGAGCAAAGGAUGGCUGACCUGCCACCAGAAAGGAUGGAAGCUACCCCUCCGUUCACCUAUAGUGGCAUGGACUGCUUCGGUCCGUUCUAUGUUAAAGAGGGAAGGAAAGAGUUGAAGAGAUACGGACUACUUUUCACCUGCAUGUGUUCGCGAGCUGUUCAUCUUGAGGUGCUGGAUGAUCUUAGUACUGAUGCCUUUCUUAAUGCACUGCGUUGUCUUAUUGCUAUACGUGGCAAUGUAAGUCAGCUUUAUAGUGAUCAAGGUACCAACUUCGUGGGUGCAAAGGGAGAGUUCCUGAAGUUGAUGAAGGGAAUGGAUCAAGAACGUGUGAAAGAGUUAGGCUGUACCUUUAUCAUGAACCCGCCUGCUUCCAGUCACAUGGGUGGUGUCUGGGAGAGACAGAUCCGGACUGUAAGGAGUGUACUAACGUCCAUCCUAGACAAGUCUGCAGCAAGACUGGACAGUUCUUCCUUAAGAACAUUCAUGUAUGAAGUAAUGGCGAUUGUAAAUAGUCGACCAUUGACCUCAGAGCACCUCAAUGAUCCUGUGGGACCAGAACCAUUGACGCCGAAUCAUAUACUAACAAUGAAGUCCACCAUCAUUGCACCACCUCCUGGAGAGUUUGUGAGGGAAGAUCUUUAUCUUCAGAAAAGAUGGAAAAGAGUUCAGUUUCUGGCAAAUGAGUUUUGGACCAGGUGGAGGAAGGAAUAUCUGUUGAAUCUGCAGCAGAGAAGUAAGUGGAAUAAGAGCAGGAGAAACACCAAAAUAAAUGAUAUCGUUCUGCUUCAAGAUGAUUUGGCAUCACGAAAUCAGUGGAAGCUAGCUAAAGUGGUAGAAGUUUUCCCAGGAUCUGAUGGAAUGGUGAGAAGACUUAAACUUCUUGUUAGUGAUGCAACACUAGAUAGCAAGGGUGCACGCACAAAUAAGUCAGUCUACUUAGAAAGACCCAUACACAAAACAGUGUUACUACUUGAAGCUGAUUAAAAGGGUUAAGUUUGAAAAGUGUUUAACUGUGUAUGUUAAACGUGUACAAAUACUUAUCCACUGAAUGUUUAUUAGUUCAUGUUGAGUUACUGAGUAUUUAUAAAGUAAAUUCUUUUAAGAAUCACACAUUGCGUGAUGGUGGGAGUGUGUUUGCUGUUACAAGCUUUCGGAAUCUAUAAUGUUUAUUUCCACUAGAUGGCACUUGUGUACUUCAACACUCAUUUAUUUCAGUAACUUUUUGAUCAGUCUAAUCUGUAUAUUUUUAUAUUUCGACUAUUUUAUAAUGCUUAUUGUGAUUUAUAUACUCAACUGUUGUAUAUUUGAGGAAUAUUUAUUCUUUCUAAGAGUUUUCUUUGGUUAUAUUUUAUUUUGCUCCCAUCGUGCCUUUGUAUGUCACUUCCUGUUUUGUCACGGAGAACGAGUCAGAACUGCGGUCCGAGUUUCACAGAGCAAUUCUGCUGAUCAUAUGGAAUGAUGUAAUCAUUGCAAAGUUUAAAGUAUUUCUAUUUAGAAGUCAUCCGAUAAAGAAGCUUCAAGAUAACCCCCUCUCUUAGCUCAUAAGCAGGCAAAAGUGUUCUACGGUGUUGGUGUUGGAGUCUAAGUCCAGAACACAUUAAACAUCAGUUAAAGAA